CCUACGGGGUGCAGCAGUGGGGAAUAUUGGACAAUGGGCGAAAGCCUGAUCCAGCCAUGCCGCGUGUGUGAAGAAGGCCUUCGGGUUGUAAAGCACUUUCAGUGGGGAAGAAAGCCUUGGGGCUAAUACCCUCGAGGAAGGACAUCACCCACAGAAGAAGCACCGGCUAACUCCGUGCCAGCAGCCGCGGUAAUACGGAGGGUGCGAGCGUUAAUCGGAAUUACUGGGCGUAAAGCGCGCGUAGGCGGUCUGAUAAGCCGGUUGUGAAAGCCCCGGGCUCAACCUGGGAACGGCAUCCGGAACUGUCAGGCUAGAGUGCAGGAGAGGAAGGUAGAAUUCCCGGUGUAGCGGUGAAAUGCGUAGAGAUCGGGAGGGAUACCAGUGGCGAAGGCGGCCUUCUGGACUGACACUGACGCUGAGGUGCGAAAGCGUGGGUAGCAAACAGGAUUAGAUACCCCAGUAGUC
rnacentral:rRNA from 1 species